AUACGGAGGGGACUAGCGUUGUUCGGAAUUACUGGGCGUAAAGCGUACGUAGGCGGAUCGGAAAGUAUAGGGUGAAAUCCCAGGGCUUAACCCUGGAACUGCCUUAUAAACUCCCGGUCUUGAGUUCGAGAGAGGUGAGUGGAAUUCCGAGUGUAGAGGUGAAAUUCGUAGAUAUUCGGAGGAACACCAGUGGCGAAGGCGGCUCACUGGCUCGAUACUGACGCUGAGGUACGAAAGUGUGGGGAGCAAACAGGAUUAGAAACCCUAGUAGUCC
rnacentral:rRNA from 1 species